rnacentral:rRNA from 1 species
GACGAACGCUGGCGGCGUGGAUUAGGCAUGCAAGUCGAACGGUAUCAUCCUUUCGGGGGUGAGAGAGUGGCGAACUGGUGAGUAACACGUAGGUUAUCUACCCUCAAGACGGGGACAACCCAGGGAAACUUGGGCUAAUACCGGAUGUGAGCAACUUUUAGUUGUUUGAAAGGUGGCGUAAGCUGUCGCUUGGGGAUGAGCCUGCGUCCUAUUAGUUAGUUGGUGAGGUAACGGCUCACCUAGGCAAUGAUAGGUAGGCGGCCUUAACGGGUGGUCGCCCACACUGGGAUUGAGAUACGGCCCAGACUCCUACGGGAGGCAGCAGUCGAGAAUAGUCUACAAUGGUCGGAAGACUGAUAGUGCGACGCCGCGUGAACGAUGAAUCCCUUCGGGGUGUAAAAGUUCUUUUAUAUGUGAGCAGUGCUUCUUAUAUUAAACAGUAUGGGGAGAGAGAUAUUAGCAUAUGAAUAAGCAAACGGCUAAACUCCGUGCCAGCAGCCGCGGUAAA